UAAAGUCAGCUAUUUUAAGCUAAUGAGUUCAUACCUCAUAAAUGAAUUAA
rnacentral:tRNA from 1 species